AGUGAACGCUGGCGGUAGGCCUAACACAUGCAAGUCGAACGACAGCACAGUAAGAGCUUGCUCUUACGGGUGGCGAGUGGCGGACGGGUGAGGAAUACAUCGGAAUCUACUUUUUCGUGGGGGAUAACGUAGGGAAACUUACUCUAAUACCGCAUACGACCUACGGGUGAAAGCAGGGGAUCUUCGGACCUUGCGCGAUUGAAUGAGCCGAUGUCGGAUUAGCUAGUUGGCGGGGUAAAGGCCCACCAAGGCGACGAUCCGUAGCUGGUCUGAGAGGAUGAUCAGCCACACUGGAACUGAGACACGGUCAAGACUCCUACGGGAGGCAGCAGUGGGGAAUAUUGGACAAUGGGCGCAAGCAUGAUCCAGCCAUACCGAGUGGGUGAAGAAGGCCUUCGGGUUGUAAAGCCCUUUUGUUGGGAAAGAAAAGCAGCAGGUUAAUACCCCGCUGUUCUGACGGUACCCAAAGAAUAAGCACCGGCUAACUUCGUG
rnacentral:rRNA from 1 species